CCAAAUAUCUAAGGCGUGUGCUGUGUUACACACUCAAGCUCAUGUGAGCUGGAAGAGGCUUCAUCUGUGACCCCAGCACCCCAAAAUUCCUCCUUAUUCCAGAGGCUUUCUGGGGACAAUCUUGGUCUCUUUUCGUGAAAAUGUAUUUUCCAGACUAUUUCAGAAUUCUCUUUUACAAGAAAGGAGUGUGGACUACAAUUACAAAUACUUCAGCCCUUCCCACCUGAUAAUGAACUCGGCUUCGUGUGCAGAUCUGUGCUGUUCACUUUGUUCCAAAGGCAGACCAACUAUAAAUAAGAUGUCAUCACUCAACAGCAAGGAAGAGCUCAAAGGAAGGGAAACCACAGCAUUGCAUCAGAAGGGCCACAAAUAGGCUUUAAAUAGCACACCAGAUCGUAAUGACCUC